CUUGGGUCUUCAGUCUCUUGCCGGACCAUACCCAUGCUCCAUGGAGUCAUUAACUAUUCCAGCUGAAUUUUUCCAACUAGUGUUCAGUUGGGUCUGCCCCAGAAUGUGUAAACCAGUUUAUGUUAACUGUUUUGCACCAUCAUGUGUGAGAUAGCACAACAGGAUGAAAAUAACUUCUCCAAGAUGUGAGAGAGAGCUGCCGCACUGCAUUCUGAAGCAUUGGCAAAGCACCUACAUUCAUGUUUAGAAGUCCUUUCCUGAGAAGAUUAAGGAUUGGAAUCAGCCACUUUGAAUAUUUAGAAACUUUUUUAAGGAAAAGUUAUUGGUAUUAAUAUGUACAAUCCUGGAGGCAGAGGGUGAACUAGAUGAUGUUUAUAAAUAGACAAGGAGGUCCCUUCAUGUUUGUGAAAUAAUCUAGGGACUGUGUAUUGAGUUCAAAUUAUUCUUUUAAUCUGUCAUUUUGGAGCCUAAUAUUUUUGAAAUUAACUAGAAAGUGGCAUCUUAAGAUCUCAGUUCUGUUUUUCCUCCUUUCUACCCUAGUUAAGGCAGAGCCCAAACAGUAUGUUUUGCUAUUACCUAAUGGGUAACCUGUAUGAACUGUUUUUACUUUGCAAUUUUUGCUCUUGUCAUUUGUAAAGUAUUUGAUUUUAAAAACCAGGUGCUCUCAUUCAGCACUACACUGGUUUCUGGGGCAGAGGUGAGGCUGCAUCUGUGUGUGGUCAGGUGAGAUGCUGAGGAGGAUGAGCUUACUGGCUCAUCACUAGAAAGAUGGGGACCCUUAUCACUAAGAUCUCAAGAAAGUGUUAUGUGAGCCUAGUUUAUAUUGGCUAGGGGUUUGAACCAUGGCCAUGUUGCAAGUUUUCUGUGACUCUCCAAAAGAGUGAUCGUGAAGAUAUCAACCAUAUGGGCAUUAUGGUAGACUAAAUAAUGGUCCCCCAAAUGCCCAUGCCCUAUUCCCCAGAACCUGUAGAAAUGUUACCUUAGAGACUUUGCAGAUGUGAUUAAGGAUCUUGAAUUGGGGAGAUUAUUAUGGAUUAUCUGUGUGGGCCUUAAAUGUCAUUGUAAGAAUCCUUAUAUGAAAGAGGCAGGGUGAGAUUUGACUAGCAGCAGAGAAAAAGAUGGGGUGGUGGCAAAAGCGAAGAAUGCAGUGAAGUGCUUUGAGGAUGGAGAAAAGGGCCACAAGCCAAAGAUGAGACCUCACUAGAAGCCAAAAAGAGGCAAAAAAAAAUGGAUCCUCCCUUCAGAACCUCCAGGGAAAAACAAGCCCUGCUGGCACCUUGAUUUAAGCCCAGUGAGAAACAUUUCAGACUUCCAACUUCCAGAACUCUGAGA
rnacentral:lncRNA from 1 species